rnacentral:rRNA from 1 species
CGCGAUUCGCCCUUCGGGGUGCCCAGGCGCGAAAACUUUGUAAUAAGCGAAAGCUUGACGGGGCUAUCCCGAGUGCCAUCCGCUGAGGAAGGCUUUUACCCAGUCUAGAACGCUGGGGGAAUAAGGAGAGGGCAAGUCUGGUGUCAGCCGCCGCGGUAAUACCAGCUCUCCGAGUGGUGUGGAUGUUUAUUGGGCCUAAAGCAUCCGUAGCUGGCUAAGUUAGUCCCCUGUUAAAUCCACCGAAUUAAUCGUUGGAUUGCGGGGGAUACUGCUUGGCUAGGGGACGAGAGAGGCAGACGGUAUUUCCGGGGUAGGGGUGAAAUCCUAUAAUCCCGGGAAGACCACCAGUGGCGAAGGCUGUCUGCUAGAACGCGCCCGACGGUGAGGGAUGAAAGCUGGGGGAGCGAACCGGAUUAGAUACCCGGGUAGUCCCAGCUGUAAACGAUGCAGACUAGGUGUUUGAACGGCCACGUGCCGUUCUAGUGCCGCAGGGAAGCUGUUAAGUCUGCCGCCUGGGGAGUACGAUCGCAAGAUUGAAACUUAAAGGAAUUGGCGGGGGAGCAC